UUGAUUUUAAUUAUUUGUGAACGGUACUACUAACUAACAACAAAUUAUUAUAAGUCAAAACAAAAAUUAAAUCA
rnacentral:misc_RNA from 1 species